UAUAUGCUUGCUUGCUUCAACCUGGAAAUAACUCUCAUUUCUUUCUCCUAGUUAAUAAACCUUUAGUUCAUUUAUUACAGGAAUGGCUACCAGGAUUGUCUUUGGUGUGAGAUCUAAGGUACAAAUUGAUCUGGGAAUUGCCAGUGAGACAAAAAAUGUGUUAUUCGUCCAGCUCUAGAGACGUUUACCAGAAAGAGUUCUCGUGGAGCACAGAGGCUGCUGGGAGUGAGUAGGUUCCAGCAGAGAAACUUGAGGAGUGAGACAACAGGCAGGAAAGACCUUUUGUUCUUCCCCGAAAGUGUCUUGACUAAGAUGCCUGGAAGAGAAAGAAACGAUUUUUUCCUCCUAUUCAAGAAAAACAGAGGGAGCGUCGCA